CCCCUCUCCAAUUUCCUUCCCCCCUCCCAAUCUCUCCUUACCCCCCCUCCCAAUCUCUCCUUAUUCUCUUCCCCCCCCCUCUCUCCAAAUCAAUCUCUCCUUAUUCUCUCUUUAAUCUUCUUAGAUGCACUGGGACACCUAAAAAGACCUGUUGUGAUAGCAAAAUUAAUCAAGUAUUGGUCCCAUCAUUCAUUGUGAUUUAGGGGGGGGGUUUGUAUUUUUUUUAAUUCUCAUAAUAUAAUUAAUUUGCAAAUAUAUAGCGAAGAUGUAUUUUCUCCCUUUUGUUUGAUUCCUUAACCUUUGUUAUUUGCAUGGCUGUAGAGACUAAAAAAAAUAAGCAGCUACCCCAUUUGUAGGCCUGGCUUUGAACCAUUUUCCCACCUCUCUUUUAUAAAUUCUCUUUAUCAUACAAAUACAUUUGUGGAAAUUGAAGUAUUUGAGUCAACUUACAACUACAGUAUGUACCUAUUCAUCUUGGUCCCUCAUCUAGUAAAGUAAUGCAAAAAGUUGAAAAUGUAGUUGCCAGGUAACCAUACUAGGGGAAGCAUGGCUGCAUUGUGUCAGCAGGCUUUAAAAAUCCUGUCCUAUCCCGUAUAAAUAGGGUUUGUUUUUGUUAUAUUGCCACUAUAUUGAGCAUCUAAUUUUAGAUUUGACCAGUUUUCUGGUUGGUAGGUGAUAUGGCUGCGCGAUUUAUAGUACAUAUUUUGUUGCCCUCAUAAACUCGAUUUCAAUUUUUCUUUUUUCUUUCUCAUGAUAAAUUCAACUGUGUGAAGAACUUUUAUUUUUAAUUUUUUAUUAAACCUCCACCACAAAGAGCGUUGAUGGCAAUGUGAAGGAGGGAAGGACAAUACUUGUCAAAAUAUAUGAUGAUAAUGUUGAUCCUUAGAUCAUAAAUAGGAUCUAAAGCUAACUGCAAUACAGCUUGUGUCUGUAGCUUCUCUUGUCGGCAAACCUUAUACUCUUCAUAUUUUUUUCUAGAUGUUUAUUAAAUUGAAGUACAGUUAACUGGCUCUUAUAAUGAAAUAUUUAUAACAUGUUAUAUCUGUAAAUCGCACACUGUAUGCAUUAUAUUUACAGGUGAUUGCUAUGUACGCACUUGCACUGUUGUCUAAAUCUGAAGAAAUUGAGAGAAUAUAGUUUGAAAUUCCAGUUAGUAUGCAGGUUUUCCUGUACAAUACGCAAAUUGUCUGUAAAGGAAAAAACAUGCUUUAGAUCGGUGUCCUCAGUAAAGGAGAAGAGCUUAUACCUCUUUAUUUCUGAACUUGAGUGUACGAAACUGGUCCCACAUUAUAUGUAGCCCCAAAAUUGGAUUACCUCGAGUAAAUGCCUUUCUCGUGAAACGGGAGUGAAGGAUAAAUCGGUUUUUAAAAACAAAUGAUAAAGUGUAUUUUGUAAUUAACUGUUUUAAUAUAUACUCUAUUUUAUUUUGUUUUUGCAUGAAACAUGGGUUGGAAAUGGGGAUAUAUAUUUUUUUCUUUUCUUUUCUUUCCAAUGCUAUGUGCUAAGGAAAUAAAAAUCAAUAUUGUGUGUUUAAAUUUGGUGCCUAGCUGGCAAUAAUAGUCUUUGUGGGUUUCAUAAUGGCAGGCCAAGCCUGCAUCUAUGUAUUUCUGCUCUGUUUUCCAGAUUUUAUAUAUCUGUUAUACUACAUAUAUAUAAAUAUAUAUAUAUAUAUAUAUAUAUAUUCAUGAUCUGCUGCGCUCAGUGUUUUAUUGGAAUUUAAAAAUAAAGAAC